GUAGCUGGUCUGAGAGGAUGGCCAGCCACACUGGAACUGAGACACGGUCCAGACUCCUACGGGAGGCAGCAGUGGGGAAUAUUGGACAAUGGGGGGAACCCUGAUCCAGCAAUGCCGCGUGUGUGAAGAAGGCCUGAGGGUUGUAAAGCACUUUCAGUGGGGAGGAGGGUUGACAGGUUAAGAGCUGGUUGACUGGACGUUACCCACAGAAGAAGCACCGGCUAACUCCGUGCCAGCAGCCGCGGUAAUACGGAGGGUGCGAGCGUUAAUCGGAAUUACUGGGCGUAAAGGGUGCGUAGGUGGUUUGAUAAGUUAUCUGUGAAAGCCCUGGGCUUAACCUGGGAACUGCAGAUAAGACUGUUGGACUCGAGUAUGGGAGAGGGUAGUGGAAUUUCCGGUGUAGCGGUGAAAUGCGUAGAGAUCGGAAGGAACACCAGUGGCGAAGGCGGCUACCUGGCCUAAUACUGACACUGAGGCACGAAAGCGUGGGGAGCAAACAGGAUUAGAUACCCUGGUAGUCCACGCUGUAAACGAUGUCAACUAGCUGUUGGUCUUAUGAAUGAGAUUAGUGGCGCAGCAAAC
rnacentral:rRNA from 1 species